ACAAAAACAAUGUCAAAAUCU
rnacentral:snRNA from 1 species